CACAGUGAAAUGAGCCGUGUAGUAACUGACCGAUUCAUAAGCGAUAGGACAUAUCACGAGAUAAGCUGAAGUAUGUGCAAAACCGCACAUUUCCUGCAGAGAACACACUACACCUUUGGACUGCAAUACCGUGAUUCAUUAGUUAACCAGUGUUCAAUUCGGUUACAGCUCACUGUCCCAUUUCAGUGCACAAUCGGGUUUUUAAAAAAAAUAUGAACUUUGCAUUCAAAGUGCAACUUGAAUGGGUUUUUUUUCUCCCGUUUGACAACACAUCCACUAUGCAAAACUUUCUCUUAUGUUUCAGGAAUACACAAACUCCUCAAUCCCGCUGACUAGUAAACAAAAUUAGUCUCGGUGCAUGAGAACUUCAUUGCACAGCUCAUAAUUUCUACAUUAACCACAAUUAGAGCGGCGAGGACCUCCCUCUCGCGGGCCGGUCGGUGGGCAGAACAACCCCCUGAGCAGUGGUCGAUGUCGGUGGAAAGUUCACCUCGUGUGCUCGGUGGUCGGGGGUUGCAGAUCCUGGGACAGCGCUCCCGUGAGGGUGGUCCGGCGCGGGGCUGAGACGGCGCUCCCGUGAGAGCGGCCCGGCGCAGGGACGGUGCUCCAGUGGCUGAGGCGCCGUUCUGGCGGCGGCGACCUGAACCGGGGGUCGGCUGCGGGCCAGCAGGCGGCAUCGUCGGGAGCUCGCAGGUCAUAGGCUGGUGCCUGUUUUCCGGAGCUCCCAUGGCAACAGCUGCAUCCGCUGAACCGGAGGGCGAUAGCUUCGACCACUCAGGGCCGCGGAGCUUGAACCGGCCCGUUCGUGGAGCUCGGUGAGCCGCGGGACUGACUUACCAUCGCCCGGUGGGGUAUCGCCUCAGUGCAGAGGGAGAAGAGGAGGGAAGAGACAGUAAUCCUAAGAUUUUUGCCUCACAGUGAGGAGGUGCCUGGUGAACUCAUUGUGGUGGAUGUUAAUUUGUGUUUAUUGUGUGUUUUGUUUAUUAUUACAUGUAUGGCUGCAGGCAACGGCAUUUCGUUCAGACUGAAAGGUCUGAAUGACAAAUAAAGGAUCUAAUUCUAAUUCUAUACCCCUCCCAUCCUUCUAAAUUCCAGAGUAUACAAGCCCAGCUGCUCCAUUCUUUCAACAUAUGACAGUCCCGCCAUCCCGGGAAUUAACUUUGUGAACCUACGAUGCACUCCCUCAAUAGAAAGAAUGUCCUUCCUCAAAUUUGGAGACCAAAACUGCACACAAUACUCCAGGUGUGGUCUCAAUAGGGCCCUGUACAACUGCAGCAGGACCUCUUUGCUCCGAUACUCAACUCCUUGUGUUAUGAAGGCUAACAUUCCAUUUGCUUUCUUCAUUGCCUGCGUGACUGAUGAACAAGGACCCCCAGAUCUCGUUGUACUUCCACUUUUCAGAACUUGACACCAUUUAGAUAAUAAUCUGCCUUCCUGUUUUUGCCACCAAAGUGGAUAACUUCACAUUUAUCCACAUUAAACUGCAUCUGCCCACUCACCCAACCUGUCCAAGUCACCCUGCAUUCUCAUAGCAUCCUCCUCACAGGUCGCACUGCCACCCAGCUUUGUGUCAUCUGCAAAUUUGCUAAUGUUACUUUUAAUCCCUUCAUCUAAAUCAUUAAUGUAUAUUGUAAAUAGCUGCGGUCCCAGCACCGAGCCUUGUGGUACCCCACUAAUCACUGCCUGCCAUUCUGAAAGGGACUCGUUAAUCCCUACUCUUUGUUUCCUGUCUGCCAACCAAUUUUCUACCCAUGUCAGUACCCUACCCCCAAUACCAUGUGCUCUAAUUUUGCCCACUAAUCUCCUAUGUGGGACCUUAUUAAAUGCUUUCUGAAAGUCCAGGUACACUACAUCCACUGGCUCUCCCUUGUCCAUUUUCCCAGUUACAACUUAAAAAAUUCCAGAAAAUUAAUCAAGCAUGAUUUCCCCUUCAUAAAUCCAUGCUGACUCGGACCGAUCCUGCUACUGCUAUCAUGGUAACAUUUAUAAAUGUACCCAUUUAUAUCCGUCAUUUUCUUCUGCGUUUGUUAUUCCACCUUAAUUUUUCUAGAUCCCAUUUAAUUUUAUAUUGUGGCGUUAGUCCCGGUUUUUCUGGAUACCAGAAAUCCUGUAGAGACAUGAAGAUUCAGAGUAUCUCUCUGCACACAUCCCCAGCCUGGAAUCCCCCAUUAUCUACCCAAUGUUCCUUCCCAUUUUCGCACCUGCAUGUUACAAUUUGACAAUAUAAUUCAUAAACAUGAGGUUAUCUUGCACAGUUCUACCUUUUGUUGACUCCUCCACUUCCCUUAUGCUAAAUGACUUGAUGAUAUUCCAACUGUAAGCCCCAUCAUUGUCUAUUUAAAAACUGGAAAGAUAGAAUCAUAAUGUAUGUUUUCCACCACAAAUUACUGUUGAUUCUGACUAUCCACUGCCCUGCUUCAUGAGAUAUUCUGUAAACAUUGAUGUCAGUUUGAUGUUGAGUCAAACUUUCUGUUCUACACCCAGUGUUCCAAAGCUGGAAAGAGUGAAGAGAAGAUUUACAAGGAUGUUGCCAGGACUUGAGGACCUGUGCUACAGGAAGACAAGGACUUUAUUCCUUGGUGCACAGGAGGCUGAGGGAUGAUCUUGUUGAGGUGUAUAUAAUCAUGAGGGGAAUAGAUAGGGUGAAUGCACGUCAGGUUUUUUUGCACAAAGGGGGAAUCAAGAACUAGAAAUUUAAGGACAUAGGUAAAAGUUUUAAUAGGAACCCGAGGGGCAACUUUAUCCACACAGAUGGUGGUGGGUGCAUGGAACAAGCUGCCAAAGGAAGUAUUUGAGGUAGGUAUAAUAACAACAUCUAAACAAGACACUUGGCUAGGUACAUGGAUAGAAAAGGUUGAGAGGGAUAUGGGCCAAACACUGACAAUGGAGCAUCUUGAUCUCCAUAAAAUGUUUUUGUUCAAUUUGACUCCAUAACUAAAUAAUUGCAUUGUUGUGUUGAAUAAACAGUUGAUCGUGAAAAUCGGAAUAUAUUAGUAAACAAGUUACAGUUCUCCCAUGCCGUUGCUGCUUGAAAGUAUUUAAAAUGUAAAUGUUAUUUGGAAAAAAGAA